AGUUCCCUUCUAUUCCACAGGUUUCUUCUGUGAGUUUUGGCAAUCCUGCAUUUGCCAUUCUCCUGCAAAGGCUUGGAUCACCGGUGCUCUGCUGUGUGCUUUUAGGAAGAGCCUCCCCUUCCUGGCUGUGGCAAAGUCUUCCAGGCAGGAGGGUCUGGCUGGCCUUUCUCUGCAUCCAACUGUAUACAGCUCCAGCUCAGACUUACUGCGGGGCAAGAUUCAACAGUCUUAGAGAUUCCUGA
rnacentral:lncRNA from 1 species